AACGAACGCUGGCGGCAUGCCUAACACAUGCAAGUCGAACGAUGCCUUCGGGCCUAGUGGCGCACGGGUGCGUAACGCGUGGGAAUCUGCCUUUCGGUUCGGAAUAACUCAGGGAAACUUGAGCUAAUACCGGAUAACGUCGCAAGACCAAAGAUUUAUCACCGAAAGAUGAGCCCGCGUAGGAUUAGCUAGUUGGUGAGGUAAAGGCUCACCAAGGCGACGAUCCUUAGCUGGUCUGAGAGGAUGAUCAGCCACACUGGGACUGAGACACGGCCCAGACUCCUACGGGAAGCAGCAGUGGGGAAUAUUGGACAAUGGGCGAAAGCCUGAUCCAGCAAUGCCGCGUGAGUGAUGAAGGCCUUAGGGUUGUAAAGCUCUUUUACCCGGGAAGAUAAUGACGGUACCGGGAGAAUAAGCCCCGGCUAACUCCGUG
rnacentral:rRNA from 1 species